rnacentral:tRNA from 1 species
GGAGAGGUGGCAGAGUGGUUUAUCGCGCUAGUCUUGAAAACUAGAGUCUGCGCAAGUGGACCGGGGGUUCAAAUCCCUCCCUCUCCGCCA